rnacentral:lncRNA from 1 species
CUUCUUCAAGUUGGCCCUUGUUAACAGGAGGGACAAUAAUACCCACCUGAAGGACAGCUGGGAGGGAUAAGUGACGACAAGAAAACAACUCUAUCCUAUUGACAAAGCAAAACCUUCCAAUGAGCGGCUAGGGACAUAAUCUUGAGAUUCUCUGGAGCAGAAGUGACUACUUCAACCUUUCUAAACCCAUAACUCUCUUAACUGUGGACCUCACCAAGGUGGUACUGAAAUCUCUCAAGAUGGCACCUAGCCUUUUCAAGAUUUGACUGCUGCGUUUGCUCCUACAGGUGUCCCCUGCCCUUCCCACAUCCCCUCAGCCCGCUGCCUUCUCUCCAUCCACACAUGGCUGUUAUUCAAAUUGUAGUCUUUAGUUCUCUGGAGAUCUCAUGUUCUUUGCCCCUUUUCCCUCUAGACUUUUGCACAGUGUUGAUACCCUGUUUACACCAUUCCUGCCAAAUAUGAGUAUGUUUUAGAAGACUGCAAGAUGAAUGCAGUUCAGACUGAGGCAAGGUCAUGCUGAAUGGUAAAUAUUUUAUUUCCAAACCUAGAGUCCAACAGAAGAGCAAUAGCGAAAAAAAAAAUU